rnacentral:rRNA from 1 species
GGAACACACUGUGCUUGCACACCGUGUUUUCUUGAGUCGCGAACGGGUGAGUAACGCGUAGGUAACCUGCCUAUUAGCGGGGGAUAACUACUGGAAACGAUAGCUAAUACCGCAUAAUAUUAAUUAUUGCAUGAUAAUUGAUUGAAAGAUGCAAGCGCAUCACUAGUAGAUGGACCUGCGUUGUAUUAGCUAGUUGGUAAGGUAAGAGCUUACCAAGGCGACGAUACAUAGCCGACCUGAGAGGGUGAUCGGCCACACUGGGACUGAGACACGGCCCAGACUCCUACGGGAGGCAGCAGUAGGGAAUCUUCGGCAAUGGACGAAAGUCUGACCGAGCAACGCCGCGUGAGUGAAGAAGGUUUUCGGAUCGUAAAGCUCUGUUGUAAGUCAAGAACGUGUGUGAGAGUGGAAAGUUCACACAGUGACGGUAGCUUACCAGAAAGGGACGGCUAACUACGUGCCAGCAGCCGCGGUAAUACGUAGGUCCCGAGCGUUGUCCGGAUUUAUUGGGCGUAAAGGGAGCGCAGGCGGUCAGGAAAGUCUGGAGUAAAAGGCUAUGGCUCAACCAUAGUGUGCUCUGGAAACUGUCUGACUUGAGUGCAGAAGGGGAGAGUGGAAUUCCAUGUGUAGCGGCGAAAUGCGUAGAUAUAUGGAGGAACACCAGUGGCGAAAGCGGCUCUCUGGUCUGUCA